rnacentral:rRNA from 1 species
AGCGAACGCUGGCGGCAGGCCUAACACAUGCAAGUCGAACGGAACCUUCGGGUUCAGUGGCGGACGGGUGAGUAACACGUGGGAACGUGCCCUAUGGUUCGGAAUAACUCAGGGAAACUUGAGCUAAUACCGGAUAAGCCCUACGGGGGAAAGAUUUAUCGCCAUUGGAGCGGCCCGCGUCUGAUUAGCUAGUUGGUGAGGUAAAGGCUCACCAAGGCUACGAUCAGUAGCUGGUCUGAGAGGAUGAUCAGCCACAUUGGGACUGAGACACGGCCCAAACUCCUACGGGAGGCAGCAGUGGGGAAUCUUGCGCAAUGGGCGAAAGCCUGACGCAGCCAUGCCGCGUGAAUGAUGAAGGUCUUAGGAUUGUAAAAUUCUUUCAGCAGGGACGAUAAUGACGGUACCUGCAGAAGAA